rnacentral:tRNA from 1 species
GCGAAAGUAGCUCAAUGGCUAGAGCGUAACGUUGCCAACGUUAAGGUUGAGGGUUCGAUCCCCUUCUUUCGCU